ACUCCUACGGGAGGCAGCAGUAAGGAAUAUUACGCAAUGGACGAAAGUCUGACGCAGCGACGCCGCGUGGGGGAUGAAGGUCUUCGGAUUGUAAACCCCUUUCGGGAGGGAAGAUGGAGUGGGUAACCACUUGGACGGUACCUCCAGAAGCAGCCACGGCUAACUUCGUGCCAGCAGCCGCGGUAAUACGAAGGUGGCAAGCGUUGUUCGGAUUCACUGGGCGUACAGGGAGCGUAGGCGGUUGGGUAAGCCCUCCGUGAAAUCUCCGGGCCUAACCCGGAAAGUGCAGAGGGGACUGCUCAACUAGAGGAUGGGAGAGGAGCGCGGAAUUCCCG
rnacentral:rRNA from 1 species